rnacentral:rRNA from 1 species
GUCUGCGACCACACCACUCUGAACACACCUGACCUCGACUGAUCUCAGAAGCUAAGCAGGGUUAGUGCUUGGGAGUAUUUUAUUCUUUUUGAUGCUAUUGUAAAUA